rnacentral:rRNA from 1 species
CCAGACUCCUACGGGAGGCAGCAGUGAGGAAUAUUGGUCAAUGGGCGAGAGCCUGAACCAGCCAAGUAGCGUGCAGGAAGACGGCCCUAUGGGUUGUAAACUGCUUUUAUGCGGGGAUAAAGUGAGGGACGUGUCCUUCAUUGCAGGUACCGCAUGAAUAAGGACCGGCUAAUUCCGUGCCAGCAGCCGCGGUAAUACGGAAGGUCCGGGCGUUAUCCGGAUUUAUUGGGUUUAAAGGGAGCGUAGGCCGUGGAUUAAGCGUGUUGUGAAAUGCAGGUGCUCAACGUCUGCACUGCAGCGCGAACUGGUUCACUUGAGUGUGCACAACGCAGGCGGAAUUCGUCGUGUAGCGGUGAAAUGCUUAGAUAUGACGAAGAACUCCGAUUGCGAAGGCAGCUUGCGGGAGCACAACUGACGCUGAAGCUCGAAAGUGCGGGUAUCGAACAGGAUUAGAUACCCUGGUAGUCCGCACGGUAAACGAUGGAUGCCCGUUGUCAGGCUGUUUCAGUCUGGUGACCAAGCGAAAGCAUUAAGCAUCCCACCUGGGGAGUACGCCGGCAACGGUGAAACUCAAAGGAAUUGACGGGGGCCCGCACAAG